AGGGUGGAGUGAGGAAGGAGAGAAGACUGGAGGUGUGUUGCUGACAAGUGAAAGACCAGAGAAAGGGAGAUUCUGCCCCAGUGUCAAGGAUGGAGGGUAUCCCUACCCAAGGGGGCAGAAGGAAAUGAUCUCCAUGCAGGACAGAACUGAAGAACUGACUCUGAGACAGGAUUCCACGAUAUACCACCUCCACCAGCACUCAAAUCCCAUGUCUGGGAAACCUGCGGCAACAGCUUUCUCCUUGGCCCGUGCUGCUUCCCGCUGCCCCCAUUGGCCUGGGACCGUGAACCGCGGCCAGUGGGACCUGCGAUUGGCCGAACCUGUGGACGCUGCAGGUAAACAAACCAACCCAGACUGCCAGUGGAUUUCCCUGAUGGGCCGCGGGCCAAAGGUUGCCGAUCCCUGGUUUAUGAUAUAAAGUAAAUACAUUUCUAAACAAAAAAUCAUUUUGAAAUGAAAAAUCAAAGUGUUCUGUUCUGAUACGGUUGAAAUAGAACUAUUCCGAUAUUUGAUUUUGCAACAAAAUUGGAUCAAAAUUGACAUGUUCCCAUGGAAAAUUUCAGUCUUGAUUAAAAGGCAUUAAAAGUUCCAUCAGAAAAUUUUCAUCCAGCUCUACUUGUGAAAUAAAUCAGCAAAUAAAACACGAAAGGGAUAGUAAAAAAUAACCCAGAUAGCUGAUACAGUACAAAUGUCAGCUUCCAACCAGCCCGAUGAUUAUCAUCGCUAAGAGCAAAUAGCAACAAAAUAUAAACAGAUGAUAAAAUUCAUUUGUAGUCAGAUUUUAUGUUAGCAUUCCAUUGGUGAGGGUAUAAUAAUUCCAUGGCUAAUUUAAAUAGCUUUUCUUACUGAUAAGUCUCUAUUGAUCCUUACAUUGUCACAGAUCACUGAAAGACAAAUAAGAAGCAAGUGGCAUAAUUUUCAAAAUUUGACACUUGGAAGUGAGUACAUAUCUUUGUGCAUGCCUUAAAAGAAUUUUUCUUGCCACAUGCUCAGACUGGGAAUUUCCCUUUCUGCAAUAAUCAGGCUCAAUAUAGUCACUAAAAAAAUAGUAUUUGGAAUAUGUUUGAAUGCCUGCUAAUGACUUGGGGAAAACAUUCUCUUAAGAGUUCAUACUGUGCAGGGUCCUACUUUUGUGUUUCCUUGACUUUUUCUUUUUUUUGCAUGCUGUGUAUUAUUAAGAGUUCAGGUGUUCAUGUGACUUAUUCUUAACUUGAAGCUAUAAAUCUCUGUUUAUAAGUCACAACCUGUUGCUAUGGAGAUGAUUAUGAUGUCACAAACAGAAACCUAUGACUUCAUGAAGGGAAUAAGUGAUAGAAACAGAUAAACUCAUAUGACCCAAUGCUGUAAGCACAUCUUUCAUUGAGGAGUCUGUUGCCACAAUUUGAGAGUUUUGGCUUAAGUUGCUAGCCCUCAUGAUUGCAAAGAAAACUAUAUGCAAUGUGAUGAGAGGCUUUUAAUGAUGAUACUUACCUCCUUUGUAAAGUGCUGUGAGAUCUAUGGAUGAAAAAGCGCUGUAUAAGAGCUAUGUAUUAUUAAUUAUUAUUAUGUUGUUGUUGCUGUGUUAUUUAGAAACUUAACUAGCAUUUGCACAUGAAGUUGUGAUAACUGUACACUCUUCUCCAUGUGUUUUACAUAUGGAAGUAGGACCUCAUUGUUGUCUUUUACAAACAUGGCCCUAACUUUCGAGGCUGCUAACCAUUUCACUGCUGUUCCCAUGAGCAGAACAUCUGCCUACAUGUGUUAUAGGCAAUCUCAGCAUUGUUUCUGGUCCUCUCUAACCCUGUCAUGAAUGCUAAGCAAGCAUUAAUCCACGGAUCUAAUCCAAAGCCUAUAGGUCACAAUGGGAGUCAUCCCAGUGACUGGUAUGGGCUUUGGGUCAGGUUUGGCAUGUUCUUUACACACUUAAUAUAAUGGCAAUGAAAAUUGAUUCUGAAUACCUAGUAAUAAUGGCUAAAAAUAAACUUGGCUGUGUGCAUUCAGAAUU